UUCGGUAACUCACAGAUACGGAUGUGUGUCAUUUUAAGGAGAUAAUCUCGUAAUUCUGGUAAGAGACUGUUGAUGAACUCGCGAACUCGUUGACGUUUUCUUCUGUCGCGGUGGUUACAGGUGUUAUUCACAGUUAUCGCGGGAAUUAAUACAGAGACUUGACUUCGAUACUGUCCGUUAAUCGGAAGACUGCAGGCUGCAUACGUCAUACGUGUGGACAAAUAGCUGUCUGCGUUUUACCGUAUUUCUCGAGAUAAACUGCAUUACUCAUGUGUUAAGCUCAUUUGGUAGAGCAUUGUGUCAGCAGCACAGAAGAUAUGGGUUCAUUUUCUUGGUGUGGAUUGGAAGGGAGUUCUAGGCGAUUCUGUUUCAAACCAUGCAAAGGUGCUGGAUAUAGAGAUUGCGCUAUGUGCUUGUGUGUUGUGCGGGCAGGCAGCCAGCAUCGUCUGUGUGGGUGAGAGCGUUCGCGAAUGACUCGGAAUGACCUUGGACACCUUCGCGUUUCCCACUGGCAGGCCACGCCAAUUAAAAUUCCACAGGUAAAUCUACCACUGUAAACCUCAGCCGCAACUUUCAAAUUGCUCAACUUUCAAAGUCACGCUGCCAAAUUCCCGAGGAGCAAAACCAGCUGUGUAAAUUUGACCCAAAAUGCACAAGAAACCACAAAAUGGUGAUUGAAAGUCCUGCAUGAGAAUCUG